GUAGGUGAACCUGCGGAAGGAUCAUUACCGAGUGAGGGCCCUCUGGGUCCAACCUCCCACCCGUGUUUAUUUACCUUGUUGCUUCGGCGGGCGCGGGCCCGGGGGCGUGAGCCCCCCGGCGGCCAGUUAAGGCGGGCCCGCCGAAGACACCCUCGAACUCUGUCUGAAGAUUGUAGUCUGAGUGAAAAUAUAAAUUAUUUAAAACUUUCAACAACGGAUCUCUUGGUUCCG
rnacentral:misc_RNA from 1 species